rnacentral:tRNA from 1 species
UCCGUUGUGGUCUAGUGGCUAGGAUUUGUCGCUCUCAAUCGUUAGCGCCGACAAGGCCCGGGUUCAAUUCCCGGCGACGGAA